rnacentral:lncRNA from 1 species
GAUUCUCUCUCCCCGAUUCUCUCUUCCUCUCCGACCUCUUCACCUUCUUCCGGCCAUAACUCCUCCAUCCGGCGACGGAUUUUGACGUAUAAGAUGUCGUUGGAAAGCUCUCUUCCUUCCCUUCAUUUCUGGGUUCGUUUCGUAGCUUAAUAUGAACUAUGGAAGAUGCAGCAAUGAGAAGAAGAGGACGGUCACUGUAGCAGUUUUGAGUCAACGCUGAUAUUUUCCGAUUCCGGCAAUCUCCGGCCACCAAAUUGGCGUCGAAGGGUUCUUGGAAUUUCUGGAAAUUUUUCACCGGCCAAAUUGGAGCUCUUCCAGGGUAAUGCCGCAAGCUACGGUUAAAUGAAGGAACUCGUUUGCGUGGUCGCCCAAUAGUACUUUUGCAGGCGAAUUAAUGGAGGUCGGGCGUACAUGACAUUUGAGGCAUAGUUGUCACUACUUCCGCAGCGUAGGAUCGCUUGAUCCUUUACUCUUCUUUUUAUAUCCAUGUUUGUUGGUAAUUGGGAGCAGGGUGGCUCCAGGAGUAUAAGGUUGGUUUGCUUGAAGUGUUUUUAUGUGUUUUACAGGUUUUUGGGUAGUCCAUUUUAG